rnacentral:rRNA from 1 species
AUACGUAGGUGGCGAGCGUUGUCCGGAUUUACUGGGUGUAAAGGGCGUGUAGGCGGGAUAUCAAGUCAGGUGUGAAAUACCAAGGCUUAACCUUGGGGGUGCACUUGAAACUGGUAUUCUUGAGUGUCGGAGAGGAAAGCGGAAUUCCUAGUGUAGCGGUGAAAUGCGUAGAUAUUAGGAGGAACACCAGUGGCGAAGGCGGCUUUCUGGACGAUAACUGACGCUGAGGCGCGAAAGCGUGGGCAGCAAACAGGAUUAGAUACCCUGGUAGUCCACGCCGUAAACAAUGGAUACUAGGUGUAGGGGGUAUCGACCCCCCCUGUGCCGCAGUUAACACAAUAAGUAUCCCACCUGGGGAGUACGGCCGCAAGGUUGAA